UGAGGAAUAUUGGUCAAUGGACGCAAGUCUGAACCAGCCAAGUAGCGUGCAGGAUGACGGCCCUAUGGGUUGUAAACUGCUUUUAUAUGGGGAUAAAGUGGGGAACGUGUUCCCUUUUGCAGGUACCAUAUGAAUAAGGACCGGCUAAUUCCGUGCCAGCAGCCGCGGUAAUACGGAAGGUUCGGGCGUUAUCCGGAUUUAUUGGGUUUAAAGGGAGCGUAGGCCGUUUGGUAAGCGUGUUGUGAAAUGUAGGAGCUCAACUUCUAGAUUGCAGCGCGAACUGUCAGACGUGAGUGCGCACAACGUAGGCGGAAUUCAUGGUGUAGCGGUGAAAUGCUUAGAUAUCAUGAAGAACUCCGAUUGCGAAGGCAGCUUACGGGAGCGCAACUGACGCUGAAGCUCGAAGGUGCGGGUAUCGAACAGG
rnacentral:rRNA from 1 species